GAUGCACUCCCCUCCCACCCUCAUCUCACGGAGCAGCACUUCUCCCUUCUUGAGGGGAAGAGCCACCCUUUGAAAGUCAGAUUUCAAAGUGGCUGGUCAAGGGGAAUCUACCUUCUAGACUACUGGAUUUUAUUUUGAUAAUUUGAUAUAAUUGCUGUAAGCUGAUUUAAACAUUUCAGUGAAUAAUUUAAUUUUGUUUGCAGCUUUAGGCUUCUGAAAAAUGCGGGGUGUCAUACUAAAAAUUCUAAUACGUAAAAUGUGCAAUGCAUAAUAAAAUGUGCAUAUUUUCUCAUUACCAUCUGCUUCUCCUUCUACUUCAGGGGGAGACUUCUUUAAAGGGUUGAAACCUCAGUGGGACACAAAUUGCCCAUCUUACGUACUCCAUCACUCAACCUGGGGAGCAAUGUGUGCUGCUAGGGAAGUAUGCUAGUCAAAGAGCCACCCGACCUGUGGACCAUUUGCUCUACAGAGCAAACAGAAAAGCCAUGUGGAGAGUCAUUUCUCUGUGAGCCAGCAACUGGUUUUCCAUCAUCAGACUCAGUGCUGGCGUUAGCUAUGCUUCAUGGAAUCACAGACUCUCACGGUGGAAAAGACUUUAGCUGUCUUCCACCUCAACCUUCUAGCUGUUGCAUUACUUCCUCCUAAAGGCAUCACAGGUAACUGGCUGACUAGGCCCUACUUACACCCUUCCAACGAGAGGAUACAGCUCUCUAACUACUCUGUAGAGCAACUUUCAUUCUACUUCAAUUAAAAACAUUUUAUAGUUAAUCGACUCUGUGCAAGGCACUGUCCUAGGUACCAAAGGAGAUAUGAAGAGCUAUAAGAAAACUCUUGUCUAGUUGGAGAAUAAGACACACACCCAACAUACUUCAUAAUAUCAGGCAGUCAAUGUUAGAAGUGAAACCCGUGGAGAUCAUGCUGAAUGGUGGCAAAGUUCAGGGGAAGGAGAGAUCCUAUCCAGUCGUGGUGAUUCAGGAAGCAUCUCUUGCCAUCUGCAGUGAGGUGACCCAAAGCUUCAGGAUUCAAGAGGCCAUCUGGUCUAGCCCUCUAUCUCUCAACCUGCCCAUAGCCUCUUUUCUUCCUUUCUGUGGUUUAAUCUUAAAUAAGCUGCUUGCCUAGAGUGAUGCCCUGCUCCCUGAUGAUAUGACUCCUGUGAGAACAAACUUGCAAACGGCUGCAUUCGAGGCACUGCUUCUUGCUGACAAGGGGUGGGGGCAACCUUCCUACAGUGAAGGCUUGUCUGGGGGAUGAGGCAGCAAUGACUCGCUGCAAAAUGGACAUAAAACAUGUCCAACACCAGAGAAACUCCAGUACAGAGUCCCUUCUUCCCCUAUGUUUCAGUUUCCAUGGAAAUCCCUUGAUGUGCGAAGGGAUUUUGUAUGUACCAAAGACAGAAUAUCAGAAAUUGGUAUAUUGAGGGUAAGCAAGCGAUCAGCAUUGGGAGGGAAUCACACAAAAGAACAGGUGUGUUGAAAACGGGGGCCAGAAAAUGGUAAUGGGAAAGCUAGUAUCAGAAAGCCACGGGGCAGGUUUGGAUCCAGAGCCUAGAGCAGGGCUGCAGCUGCUAAUGCAGGUCAGUAUCACCAGUAACAGGAGAGACUGGAUCUAGGCAGAACCUGACAGAUACAGAGUUCUGAACGCGUUACAACACGGUAAAUGUUCCAAAGAAAUAAACUCUACUUGACAGCAAGACUAUUACACUCAUUAGAUCCUGUUUGGAGAGUGCAGAAAAAUUGACAAGCUGAAAAUAAGUUUACUGGUUUGUUGUUUGUUUGUUGGUCUGGUUUUUUAGGGCCGACAGCUGCAGCUGGGGUAGGAAGUGAGUGCGAAGAAAGAAUGUGGUGACGCACACAUACUUGGAACCCUCAGAGCUUUUACUACCUGAGCAGCUUACAACAUGUAUCGGCAGCACCUUAAUCUUUUUUCCAACCAGGAGAAAGCAAGGGAUUUGCUAAGGACGGAGUCUCGCUUCACAGGGCAAGCGUGAGAACCCGCGUGGCUGCCACUGGGGGAGCACUGCACUGAGGCUCAAGGGACAGAACCACCUGGGCUGAGCACCUGAGUCGUACCGCUCUGCGAGCAGCUGGCACCGUGGGCACAGUUUUAAAGAGGAGGACACCGAGGUGUCGUGCGUUGGCCAUGGUCUAGGGCUGGUGAGUGGAAGGUCCUGGACAGGAUCGGCCCUCUGGCCCCCAGCCCAGGUCUCCUUCCUUGGCAUCUACCUCUCCUAGGGGGAUUGCUGGGAGGUGAGCGGCGUAAGGCCUAGGUAUACUGGGAAGAGCUCUGACUUCCAGCUGUGCAUGCUACAAGGCUAAACCUCUUACACCCAUAUCUCUUUUUCUCCCCCAAAAGCCCUACAUCCACAUACCAACCCUGCCCUUCUCACUGCAGUCACAGUACAGACUAAAAAUCUUCCUGGAGACCCGAACCCUUAAACCCACCACUUCUCAUGACAUCAGCACAAAGGCUGUUACUGGCACCAUUUAGCUAGGACGACUAGACCCCAGAGAGCCCGUGGCCACGUGGGUGAAAACACCAGUGCCCUGAGAGCUCACAGCCCCUGAGUGGCCCGCCUCUCCCUCUUCCUGCAACAGCAGCUCCGCUCCCUCAGCCAAAGCAGACGGCCACGGGGACGGUCCUCCCCGAGCACGGCUUUGCUUCCGAAGCGUGAAGCUCUAUGUAAAGGAUGACCUAGAUUUUCUGGAUGAGCGACUGCAAUCUAUAAAUGUCUAAUCAUGCGCACGAAUUGCCUAAAGUGAAGAAGAGCUUUCAGCUCUAUUGCCUCUGCUGAGCAAGGCCGUGGCCUUCCUUGGGGACUGCAGCCUCCAUCCAGACCUGUCACGUCUCAAGAAUCAGGGGUCUGAGAAGUCGUGAGGGAAGCUGUCCUCUUCCGUUCUGCAAAUUGGACACAGUCCCAAGUGUGGAGGUCAGGGGGCUGGGCCGGCACUAAAAGACAAGGGGCAGGAGGAGGCAUGAUGGGUAUGAGGUAGGCCCGGUGAUGGGGUCUGCGACCUGGUGAUGGAGUCAGCGGCCCAGUGAUGGAGUCUGUGACACUGUGAUGGAGUCUGCGACCCUGUGAUGGACUCUGGGACGAAGCCAUGACCUCAAAUUCUAAGAGCCGUUGUUGGAAGGCGGCACCAACUGAACACCCUGGGCAGGUGGCCGCUUCUCCGAGGCCCAUCUAAGUCCCUGGGAACAAUCGAAUUGUCCAGCUGGGUAGAGAAGCUGUGAUUUGAGUCCUUGGUGAGCUGCUGUCAACGCAGCCUACUUGGCUCACACAGUGACUGUCCCCCGCACAGCACCACAAGAAUGUGCCCGGCGGGGGGCGGACAGGCAGCAGGGCCCAGGCUCAGCUUCCCGAGGACAUAGAGAGCUGCCCGCAGGUGGCUGGAGGGAGGCCAGCGGACCCAAGACAAAGACACAACACAACAGGGAAGGGAAUCUGGGGCAGCCCUCCCUCUGCUCUCUCCUUGCUUGCUGGAGCGCGUUCCUAUCGCUUCAAUCUUGUCUGUUAAAUCCUGGGCCUUUUUUAGCGUAUUUGUUGACAGGCUGGAUAGGUAUUAAGCAGCAGCUCAGGGAACUUUCCAAACACUGACCUAGUGAAAUAACACAAGGCCUGUCUGAGACUUACUAGUUAGCCACGAACUCAGCCUUCUUCAGAAAGUUUUUCUCAGUAUUGAUUUGAUCCUAACAGACCUAGACGCCUAGUUAAUCUCGUUCCGGUGCAUGACAGGGCUGAAGCAAUUGGUGUACAUUGCCAUAAAAUGGCACUGCCCCCAACACUGUCUCACCACAAACUGUGUGCUUUCACCGUACAAACUGUCCUUGACUCAUAAUUCUCUGCAAUGAACAGGCCUGGACAAAAAACAUCAUCACACCAUCACGUAUGGUAAAAGGACUGAGUAAAAUCUUUUGUAAUCAGACAGAAGUUAUUCUGAAAGCCUCCUCGCCCUGUCUUUGGUUGUGGUGAGGAUUAGAUUACCUUUGAUUAAAGACAGAGAAACGCUUAGUAAACUGGGAAGCACUGUCAGGGUGGCGACCUGUUCUUAUUUCUCUUGCUGGAUUUGGAACACUACUUUGCUCCUGCUAGGCUCUCGUUAUUCCAGAGUGGAACAAUGAUUUUUCAUGAAAUACUUCAUUUUAACCACAACCCAAAGAGGGGCUGUCCACGCUGGUCUGUCACACUGUCCGUGCCCAUGAGACCAGAUGUGGUUUCCUGCAAGCAUGGUUCCAAUCCAUGGCAGAGUAAGUAGGGGCCUUCCAAACUUCUUUCCAGUUCUACGUUCUAAGUGCAACCCGCCCCUCGGGCCCUCAAGACAGAAGGAUUUCUUAGGGUUUACUGAGGUGCUAGAGAGAAAUCUGCAUGAGGACCCAGGAAUGACUCUGAAAGACAGAGCUUCACAGGUGGGUGAGGAAUCUCUUAUUCACUGAAGGAAAGAAAAAACUGCUCUCUACUCAGGAGCCAAGAGCAAAUAAGAAGGGGUUUCAAAACAGCUCACGUCAUGAACUGGCGCUGUGUCACCAUCUUACAGAAACAGCCAAAAUGCAACGGAAACUCACAAAGUGGAUACCAAUCGGAAGAUGGGAAGGCCGGGAGCACUAUCUGGUGUUCUGCCGGAGGAAAUACAGCAUCUGACCGGAACAAGUGAACUACAUUCAAAGUCCAGCCUGACUUCUCUCCCUCUCCCUCUCCCACUGGCGGUCUCUGUUGCUCUCCAGCUGUUAAACAUACAUGGAGCGCAGUACCAGGCCCUGUUCCAAGAGGGUCUUCACAUGUAUUAACUCUACGAGGUAGGUGGUAUUGUCAUGACAGAUGAAGAAACCGAGGUUAAAAGAGGGGUAAGGCAACGUGCCCAAGUCUAGCUGGUAAAUGGCAGUCCUGGGAUCUGAACCCAGGCUACCAAGCCCUGGGAUAGCGCUGUCAUUUCCAUGCCUCAGUUUGCUCAUUUGCAGAAUAAAAGCUUGAUAAUAUCUUGCCUCCAUCCCUCCCAGCACAGAGAUAAUCAGGAGAUCAGUCAAGAUAAGGAAAGCACUUUGAUAUCUUUUGGGGAGAACAAGGUCCUGCACUAAGUCCAAACCACCAUGAUAUCUGGUUGACUGGUGGGUCCUAAAUAUCUAGGCUGCCUGACGGUACAGUAGUCACGUAGCACACGAAACCUCGCGCCACUGCUGAAGUACCAACAACAUGCAUUUAUUAGGGCCUUCUCUCCUUGCACGUUAGCUUAUUUGAACCUCACACCAACUCUGCAGGAUGGGUAUUAUUUUUAUUUUACAGACGAGGAAACAGAGUAAGGUGAGGUGAGCUGCUUAAAGUCAUGUGCGUGGUGAGUGCCUGACCUGAGUCCAGGUCUUUCACCUCAAGCCCGGCCCUUUCCACUGUAUCCCACUGCUGCUCAUUCUGGGUUGAGAAGAUUAAAGGCACAUCGUUUCCAUCUCAGCUCUGGAGGGUUUCUGGUGCCAGCCUACCUGGAAAGGUACUGAGCACCCCUGGUGCUUGGGUGGGCUAGGCUAUUGUGGUGAUAGUUGUAUUUGUUUUUUCUGUUUUGUAGCACAAGUGCCUGACCUAAGCUUUGAUUGCUGAGGCAUCCAUUGCAAAGAGGCAUCCUUCAAAGACGGCUAUCUCUCAAAUACACACACUGCCAGCCACAAGACUAGAUAAAGGGCCAGGCCACCUCCCUGCACUGAGGCUCCUUGGUUUUACACAUUGUGGUUGAUUUCAAUAACUGACCAUUGGGCUACUUGUUUUUUCCUCUCCUCAUACUUUAGAAACUCCUGCCCUUAUGUCUUAAUUUCACCAAUAAAGACUGAGCCCAUCAAACAUUAGACCCACCCUCGACCCCAAUAUAUUCAGAACCCCUGGCCUGCGUGCCCUUUCUCUUUCUUUCUCUCCUCUCUCCCUCCCCCCACCCCAACCUUGCUGUGUGGCCCUAGGUAUGCUGUGUAAUUUCCAGGUCUUGUAAGCAAUAAACUUUUAUUUUUUCAAAGUU